rnacentral:rRNA from 1 species
UACGGAGGGUGCAAGCGUUAUCCGGAUUCACUGGGUUUAAAGGGUGCGUAGGUGGGUUGAUAAGUCAGUGGUGAAAUCCCCGAGCUUAACUUGGGAACUGCCAUUGAUACUAUCUGUCUUGAAUACCGUGGAGGUGAGCGGAAUAUGUCAUGUAGCGGUGAAAUGCUUAGAUAUGACAUAGAACACCAAUUGCGAAGGCAGCUCGCUACACGAAUAUUGACUCUGAGGCACGAAAGCGUGGGGAUCAAACAGG